UAGGGAAUCUUCGGCAAUGGACGAAAGUCUGACCGAGCAACGCCGCGUGAGUGAAGAAGGUUUUCGGAUCGUAAAACUCUGUUGUUAGAGAAGAACAAGGACGUUAGUAACUGAACGUCCCCUGACGGUAUCUAACCAGAAAGCUACGGCUAACUACGUGCCAGCAGCCGCGGUAAUACGUAGGUGGCAAGCGUUGUCCGGAUUUAUUGGGCGUAAAGCGAGCGCAGGCGGUUUCUUAAGUCUGAUGUGAAAGCCCCCGGCUCAACCGGGGAGGGUCAUUGGAAACUGGGAGACUUGAGUGCAGAAGAGGAGAGUGGAAUUCCAUGUGUAGCGGUGAAAUGCGUAGAUAUAUGGGGGAACACCAGUGGCGAAUGCGGCUCUCUGGUCUGUAACUGACGCUGAGGCUCGAAAGCGUGGGGAGCAAACAGG
rnacentral:rRNA from 1 species